AUUGUAACAAUUUAACAAUUCUAACAACAUCUAUUAAAGAUGGUGAAAGAUUAGGAAUUUCUCUCCUAGCACACUGGACACUGAUGCACCUUUUUUUUGUUUGCUGCUUACCCCUUUGAGCUUUAUCUCUGUAUUCUUGGGCUGGCUGGCUAUCGAGUCAAAACUUGGGUUCUUCGAGGAUCAGCACAGCUUUCUCCAACCUGAAGAGGAACACCAUCAGCUGCAGCUCCACCUGAGGCACCGUAGGAUGAACCGGGCUGAUGUUGAUGUUUACUGACAGAAAGUAGCCACUUCUUUUUGUGCUCAGAGCAGAGCUAUAUCCUCAAAGCCCCAUCACGCUGAGUCACCCCUGCUCUGCCUCUCACCUGAGUCCAGCUUUAGGCCAGCCCGAGCCAUCCCAGCAAAUCAGAGAUAAGCCCCAUCACCUGAACUCACUCUCUUUUCAGUGAGCUUGAACCACCUGACCUUUACUGAGUGUGCUGCAGAGUUCACCUUUCCAUGCUAGCAAUACACUAGUGGAACCCAGCAAACUAAAGGGAGGGCACAGAUCUGCAGAUUCACUAAAGCCGAGGUUUAGUGUUAGGCCUUAUUCUGAGUCUGGCUGACACGGCUCUACUCCAGUCUUUUUAGAGUGGGCAGUUGGAGAGAGAGUGGGCAGAAUUGUGUAAGGGGUCCAGACUCCUGAUCUCAAUUCAGACCAGUCAGAACAUAUUAAAGAUGCUUGGCCAGAAACUCUGAACUGGUGCUGUUGAAAGCCAAUGGAAACCCAGCACAAAAAUGAGUUGUUUUUUAUCUGCGUGCCAAGUUUACUUGUCAUGCUCAAAUAUGUUCAAACCUUUUCAACUACUAUCAUGCAAAGGUGAGUUAGCCUUUGAUUAGGCAGUUUCUUUUAACUUAAUUCCAUCCUAAAUUAUGUAGCUGCUACAUUCGGCCACUAAUACAUGCUUUAUACUGCUGCAUAUAAUUUUAAGUUGAAAUGGAAAUAAUACGCUCUGCAGUCUAUACAGACCAUGCCAAACCUAGUUUCAUACCCAUGACCUCACCAAGACAUUUUUUUAUUCAUUUGUAUUCUGUAGUGAAAUAAAGAUUAAAUUACCCAACA
rnacentral:lncRNA from 1 species